UUUGCAAUUAAUGGUGAUUUAACCAGUGGCGGUUCCUCUGUGAAGUAUAUGGAUAUUAGAAACGAUAAUGACUUAAGAUGGAAAUCAAGCGAGCAUUUAUUUUUUUUGCCUCCCCGUAAAGAUAAAACGAUGGUAGUCUCUGAAAAUGGGAUAAUACUUGCCAUUGGUGGUUUAAACGAGUCUGGUAGAUUGACCAAUCUUGUAGACGAGCUUGAUCUUAAGUCAGAAUCAAAACAAUGGGUUUCUACAAGGCCAUUGAACCGACCACGAAGAGCAUUUGGUGUUUGUACUUACAAACAGUACAUAUAUGUCGUGGGAGGCUGUGAUUACUCAAAUUGGAAAAGUUCGAAUUCUGUAGAAUACAAAUUCAAAAGUAUGGACCGAAAUUACUGAACCAAUGCCCACUGCUCGCUGCGAGUGUAGUGCUGCAGUAUUUAAUAAUAAAUUAUAUGUUUUUGGUGGACGUAAUGAACAAAGUAUUUCUAAACGUGAUUCUCUUGCAACUGUAGAAUGCUAUGAUAUUGAAAAUAAACACUGGCAACAACUUAAACCAAUGCCCAAGUGUAAUUUGGGUAUGAGUUUAUCAAGAAUAGAUAACGUCAUUUAUCUCAUUGGUGGUAGUGCUGAUGAAUCAUGUGUACAACGAGUUAUGUAGUUCGACUUACAAAAUUUCAAAUUUGAUGAAAUGCCUAACAUGACCAUGGAUUUUAAAUUGGGUUGCGCAAGUGUUGGUAUCUUGAAAAACGACUUAUACGUGUUUGUGAAUAAUGGAGGAGAACUUCAUUGUGAAAGAUAUGACAGAGAAAAAAAUCAAUGGCUAUUGGUUGACACAUCAGAAAACUUAUUAUACUCAAUAUAUCAACCUAUCAUUACUUUUAAUAAUGUUACACUGAAUUAUUGUUAUGGUAUUCACCUAUAAUACUAUGUUUUUGUAUUAAUACCAUUUUGUGUACUCAAUUUAGUCUUAAAAAUAUUAAAUGACUUAAAUUAAUUAAUUA